AUGAUGGUGCGCCUCCGAGCAUCCGAUUCGACGCCGAAAGUUUCCGACAUGAAACAACGUCGCCGGCGCCGGCGCCGGCGCUGUCGCAAACGCGGGGACGCUGGGGUCAUCCUGCCGACCGAGCUAGUCCUCGAGAUCCUCAAGCGCGCCUCGCCAUCCACUGUUGCCCGCUGCGCCGUCACCUGCCGGCCGUGGCUCCGCCUGGUGUCGCGUCGCUCCUUCGCCCGCCGCGCGGCCCGUCCGCGGCGCGCGCUCCUGCUAGGCUUCUUCGCGUUCGACCACGCGGAGGACGACGAGCAGGCGAUGCUCCCGCCGCGCUUCGUGGAGUGUCCGGGCGGCCCGGCCGGCUGGCGGUGCCCGUGCGUCCCGCGGCUCGACCCUCGCUGCCGCGACCUGGACCCCGUCCUGUCCCGCAACGGCUAUCUCGUGCUCAGCCGCGCCGCCGUCCUCGCCGGCACCCCGACCACCAUCAACUACUGCGUGUGCAACCCCUCCACCGGCCUCUGCCACUUUCUGCCGCCGUACCGGGUCCACGACGACAUCGGGUUCUGGGAGUACGGCUGCGCGUUGCUCACCGGGAGAGACCUGCGCAGCCGCGCAUCACCGCCGCCGAUCUCAUCAUUCGAGCUCGUCUUGGCAGCGAUCCACAUGGAAGAGCAUGUGCUCUGGGUAGACAGCUUCUCCUCCUCCACGAUGAGCUGGAGCCCGACGUGUCGCCUCGAGAUCCCGUACGUCCCCAUCGCUAUGGUUGACGAAUGGCGGGAGUGGGACUUCACGUCCCGGCCCCGGUCCCGGUCCCCGCUUCGCCAAUCCUGGACGAGCCUGGAGAUGCACCCAAAGAACCUCCCGGUGGUCGACGAGGACGGCGUCAUCUACUGGCAGUGCUCCCGCGACCACGGCGCCGGCGCCGCCCGGGUCGCGCUGGCGCUGGACAUGCGAUGGCGAGGGCACGUCGAGCUGCUGGACCUCCCGGGCGAAAGCCGCUGCUCCGGCGCGUACUGGGACUUCGGCGUCGUGCUCGGCUGCCGCAGCAGCGACGGCGCGCUCCUCGCCUUCGGGCUGGCCGAGUACGACGGCCCCGUGCUCAAGAGAUGGUGGACCGUGAAGAGAAGUGUCGAUCGCUCCAUUCCCACGGGGUGCACCUGGCACCGCGGCGGCGACGUCGAUCUGCGCCGGGCGAUCUCAAGCUGCUGCUGCGGCGGGGACGCUGUCGACGACAUUGGCGGCGUGAAGCUGCUGUGGUACUGCGAGAAGAGCAACGUGCUGGUGUUCAACACGGUUGCCCUGGGCAGCUUCGCGCUGGAUCUCAAGACCGGGCGCGCCGAGGCGGUCGGGGAGGUCCUGCGCUGCAAAUCGGAGUUCUGUGCGAGGAAUGCUUAUAUAUGGUGGAGGGCUUGCCCGUACGAGAUUGACUGCCCGCUUACGUGGAUCACGUCCCCAAGCGAUAAUACUAGACGGGUCUCUCUAGGACACAUCUAG
rnacentral:rRNA from 1 species